GCACCCGUAGCUCAGCUGGAUAGAGCGCUGCCCUCCGAAGGCAGAGGUCGAAGGUUCAAAUCCUUUCGGGUGCACCA
rnacentral:tRNA from 2 species